rnacentral:lncRNA from 1 species
ACGCAUAAAUCAUAAAUUAUGUGCCAUUUUGAAGUGGCCCAAAACGACACACUACGCUGACAAAUGCAGAUGAUGGACAAUAGAAAUAAUGAUGUUUGGGAUGCUGCUGACGAGGGAGAGCCUUGUUGAGAUUGCAUUUGUUUGUCAUGAUGAUGAUGUUCAGCAGGCGACUCCUUUGCUUCGAAAGCUGGAGUUUUCAGUUUCAGCUCCGGCCCGAAAAACCUGUGUCCGACUAUUAUCAGCCAAACACCUAUGGACGUCAUACAAAAUUCAACUCAACUCAAACUUAAAACUCAACGAUAGGGGACGUGUGAGAUGCUUUAUACCCGUCAAAACUUUUAUACCCGGUACUCAGAAG